rnacentral:rRNA from 1 species
GUAGGUGGCAAGCGUUGUCCGGAAUUAUUGGGCGUAAAGCGCGCGCAGGCGGUCCUUUAAGUCUGAUGUGAAAGCCCACGGCUCAACCGUGGAGGGUCAUUGGAAACUGGGGGACUUGAGUACAGAAGAGGAAAGCGGAAUUCCAAGUGUAGCGGUGAAAUGCGUAGAGAUUUGGAGGAACACCAGUGGCGAAGGCGGCUUUCUGGUCUGUAACUGACGCUGAGGCGCGAAGGCGUGGGGAGCAAACAGGGAUUAGAUACCCUGGUAGUCCACGCCGUAAACGAUGAGUGCUAAGUGUUAGGGGGUUUCCCGCCCCUUAGUGCUGCAGCUAACGCAUUAAGCACUCCGCCUGGGGAGUACGGCCGCAAGGCUG